AUACGUAGGGGGCGAGCGUUGUCCGGAAUGAUUGGGCGUAAAGGGCGCGUAGGCGGCUUGUUAAGUCUGGAGUGGAAGUCCUCUUUUCAAGGGAGGAAUUGCUUUGGAAACUGGCGGGCUUGAGUGCAGGAGAGGUUAUUGGAAUUCCCGGUGUAGCGGUGAAAUGCGUAGAGAUCGGGAGGAACACCAGUGGCGAAGGCGGGUAACUGGACUGCAACUGACGCUGAGGCGCGAAAGUGUGGGGAGCAAACAGGAUUAGAUACCCUGGUAGUCCACACUGUAAACGAUGAGUGCUAGGUGUAGGAGGUAUCGACCCCUUCUGUGCCGGAGUAAACGCAAUAAGCACUCCGCCUGGGGAGUACGGUCGCAAGAUUAAAACUCAAAGGAAUUGACGGGG
rnacentral:rRNA from 1 species